rnacentral:sRNA from 1 species
CCCACCCCGCGGUGGCCGUCGGAGCAGUUGGGACUGGGGUGUCUGGAAUGAGUCUGGGUCCCCAGGCCGGCCGGCUGACCUGGCUGCCGUCCCCAGGAUGGGCUAUGCCAGGUGUCCCUGCAGCAGGGCCGUGUGAGCCUACAGUUCCUGAGGACUGAAGUGAAAACUCAAGCGGGCUUCGCCGAUGGUGCCCCCCAUUACGUCGCCUUCUACAGCAAUGCCACGGGAGUCUGGCUGUAUGUCGAUGACCAGCUCCAGCAGAUGAAGCCCCACCGGGGACCACCCCCCGAGCUCCAGCCGCAGCCUGAGGGGCCCCCAAGGCUCCUCCUGGGAGGCCUGCCUGAGUCUGGCACCAUUUACAACUUCAGUGGCUGCAUCAGCAACGUCUUCGUGCAGCGGUGAGCCUGGUGGGCGCUGGGGGGCAAGGUCCCAGCUGGCCUUCUGCAGCUGCUGACCGCCUGCCCGCCCUGCACAGGCUCCUGGGCCCACAGCGCGUAUUUGAUCUGCAGCAGAACCUGGGCAGCGUCAAUGUGAGCACGGGCUGUGCACCCGCCCUGCAAGCCCAGACCCCGGGCCUGGGGCCUAGAGGACUGCAGGCCACCGCCCGGAAGGCCUCCCGCCGCAGCCGUCAGCCCACCCGGCAUCCUGCCUGCAUGCUGCCC